AUCCUCGGAAACCCAGGGGUAUUUUGCUCUUACGUUUCACUCGCGAGUGAAACGUUAGAGCAAAAUACUCCUGGGUUUCCGAGGAUGA
rnacentral:pre_miRNA from 1 species